AUCCAGUUGACUCGUCCUAAAUAGGACGAAAUGCGUGUCCUAGAU
rfam:Schistosoma curassoni strain Dakar, Senegal genome assembly, scaffold: SCTD_scaffold0006925